UUUAGAGUUUGAUCCAUGGCUCAGAACGAACGCUGGCGGCAGGCCUAACACAUGCAAGUCGAGCGAGGACUUCGGUUCUAGCGGCGGACGGGUGAGUAACGCGUGGGAACGUGCCCUUUGCUACGGAAUAGCCCCGGGAAACUGGGAGUAAUACCGUAUGUGCCCUUCGGGGGAAAGAUUUAUCGGCAAAGGAUCGGCCCGCGUUGGAUUAGGUAGUUGGUGGGGUAAUGGCCUACCAGGCCGACGAUCCAUAGCUGGUUUGAGAGGAUGAUCAGCCACACUGGGACUGAGACACGGCCCAGACUCCUACGGGAGGCAGCAGUGGGGAAUCUUAGACAAUGGGGGCAACCCUGAUCUAGCCAUGCCGCGUGAGUGAAGAAGGCCUUAGGGGAUAAAGCUCUUUCAGUGGGGAAGAUAAUGACGUACCCACAGAAGAGCCCCGGCA
rnacentral:rRNA from 1 species